UACGUGGGGUGCAAGCGUUAAUCGGAAUUACUGGGCGUAAAGCGUGCGCAGGCGGUUAUGUAAGACAGAUGUGAAAUCCCCGGGCUCAACCUGGGAACUGCAUUUGUGACUGCAUCGCUAGAGUACGGCAGAGGGGGAUGGAAUUCCGCGUGUAGCAGUGAAAUGCGUAGAUAUGCGGAGGAACACCGAUGGCGAAGGCAAUCCCCUGGGCCUGUACUGACGCUCAUGCACGAAAGCGUGGGGAGCAAACAGG
rnacentral:rRNA from 1 species